CAGGCACCAUAUGCGUCAUCCACACAUAUGUUCGCUGUUUUCAUUACCAAAUUGAAAGUGAAAGUGAUCGCUGAGAGCUUUCCCGUGUAAAAAAAAGAGGCGCUAGUUGAAUCAAUAGACUACGAAGAGAUACUGAACUUCACCAGUGCAGAAAGCAUGACCGAAGCUACGAAUAAAAACAGUGAGGUUCAAACACAAAGAAUCAUUCUAUUUGUUUGCCUUACAUUUGGUUUCUUGGCCGACCUGGCAAUUGUCUGCACGAUGUUGUGGUUCAAGAAAAUGCGAACCCCACUAAAUAUCUUAAUUGCGAACUGGGCAAUUUUGGAUCUUUGUGGAAUACUAAUGGCGCCUACCGGUUACACAUUAGCGUCAAUUCUGGAUCACCUCACCAUACCCUCGCGAUUAUCGUGUUUCCUACUCCAAAUGGGAUUAGUAAUACAUUUUAUGACUAUUAUGUCCGUUUUUAUCAUUCUUGUUACUUGGUAUCUUUUCGUAUAUUUUUCAAAAUUUAAGAAAUAUGUAGGGAUUUACUUCAAGUUCGUGUUAGUCAUGAUUUGGGGAACUGUGUUAAUUUUACUAAUCAUUUUAAUCACUCAUCAGUGCUUUAAUCAUGACUUCGAAUCGGAAAUUAUGAGAGGGCAAUACGUAACGGUAGCUUUUUUAUUAGUUUCCAUUAUCAUUGCUCGUUUUAUUAACGUUUUGAGGAAAACCGAUGGACAGCCUGUCGAAUGUUCACAGUUGCCAUUAAGUUUGUGUACCGCAUUUAUUAUUUGUUACACAUUGUCGGUCGCUCACAAAAUGCUGAUAUUCGUUCUUUGGACUUGGUAUCCAAUAUUCGAACUAAUUUCGCUGUGCAUCCUUUACUGCAAUUCUAUCGUGACUUUCAAUCUGCUAUAUUUUAAGGACAAACUCUUUAAGCUACAUGUCCGGAAAAUAUUUCACUGCAAAGAUCCAGCACCCGUGGAACAAGAGCCCUUUCCCGAAGUUUCAUUUCAUUGUCCAACUGAGCUGCGAACAAAAUGAUCAUUAUUAAAUUACACAAUAAUA